rnacentral:lncRNA from 1 species
GUAAAAAAAAAAAAAAAAAAAAAAAAAAAAAAAAAAAAAAAAAACUCAAGUACAUCCGACAACAAGACAUCACAAAACGGUACAGAGUGCAGUCACUAAUCAGUAAUUAACAUAUGACGCUUUCAUACUCGAAUAACACAAAGAGCUGCUAACCAAAACCGGAUUUUAUUUUAAUAUUUUAGGCGGACCUUAUUGAUUAAGAUCUGCAGACAUCGCCUUACGCUUCAAUUCCAACAGCAUUUGAUCGUUUUCCAUCUUCAUCCUCUCGUUAUCGAUUCUCAUCAUCUCCAAUUCCGUAUCUUUUUUACGGCGAAACCUUUGCCAUUUAAACCGUUCCUUCUCUAACUCCAACAUUUGUGCUUGAAGAUGUACCUUCUGUUCUUCUAGUUGUAAUAAACGGUUGUUCAGCCAUUGAUCCUGCAAAAGAUUCGAUUUCACACCUUCUUGAUCCAUGUCCAUCUGCACGUUUUUCACCAGAGAAUCUUCAUUUUGUUUUACCCUCUUUGAAGAUCCUUCACCAACUCCACAUGCUGUUCUUUGACCCAAAUUGACACCAUGAUGAUAAUGACGGUGGUAUUCAUCGUAUUCAUCAUGAUCAAGAUCCACAUAUGGAUCUUGAUCGUCAUCAUCGUCCGGAUCCUCGUGAUCCGGAGGAAGGUGUAA